GAAGGGGGCUGGGCGGCCGCUCCUCGUUCGCCGAGGGGAGGAAAGUCCGGGCACCUCAGGGCAGGGUGCUGGGUAACGCCCAGCGUCCGCAAGGACAGGGAAAGUGCCACAGAGAAGAGACCGCCGGCGCGAGUUCUCGGACUCGUCUCGGUAAGGGUGAAACGGCGAGGUAAGAGCUCACCGCGGGCUCGGAGACGAGCACGGCACGGCAAACCCCACCUGGUGAAAGGUCCGACAUGGGGUCCGCGUAGCCCGCGCACGGCCCCGAGGAGACCGUUUGAGGCGCGCAGUGAUGCCCGUCCCAGAGAAAUGGCCGCCGCCGCAGCUCGCUGCGGUAGCAGGACCCGGCUUACGGCCCCCUUCCCUU
rnacentral:RNase_P_RNA from 1 species